AUAGUACUUUUAUCCUGCAUGGGAUGUGAGUUAAAUGUUCAAGGUAUCGGAUGGGCAUGCGUCCUAUUAGUUAGUUGGCGGGGUAACAGCCCACCAAGACGAUGAUAGGUAGGGGUUCUGAGAGGAAGGUCCCCCACAUUGGAACUGAGACACGGUCCAAACUCCUACGGGAGGCAGCAGUGAGGAAUAUUGGUCAAUGGACGUAAGUCUGAACCAGCCAAGUCGCGUGAGGGAAGACUGCCCUAUGGGUUGUAAACCUCUUUUAUAAGGGAAGAAUAAGUUCUACGUGUAGAAUGAUGCCUGUACCUUAUGAAUAAGCAUCGGCUAACUCCGUGCCAGCAGCCGCGGUAAUACGGAGGAUGCGAGCGUUAUCCGGAUUUAUUGGGUUUAAAGGGUGCGUAGGCGGUUUAUUAAGUUAGUGGUUAAAUAUUUGAGCUAAACUCAAUUGUGCCAUUAAUACUGGUAAACUGGAGUACAGACGAGGUAGGCGGAAUAAGUUAAGUAGCGGUGAAAUGCAUAGAUAUAACUUAGAACUCCGAUAGCGAAGGCAGCUUACCAGACUGUAACUGACGCUGAUGCACGAGAGCGUGGGUAGCGAACAGGAUUAGAUACCCUGGUAGUCCACGCCGUAAACGAUACUGACUGGUUCUGUGCGAUAUAUUGUACGGGAUUA
rnacentral:rRNA from 1 species